rnacentral:rRNA from 1 species
GUAGGUGGCAAGCGCUGUCCGGAAUUAUUGGGCGUAAAGCGCGCGCAGGCGGUUCUUUAAGUCUGAUGUGAAAGCCCACGGCUCAACCGUGGAGGGUCAUUGGAAACUGGAGAACUUGAGUACAGAAGAGGAAAGCGGAAUUCCACGUGUAGCGGUGAAAUGCGUAGAGAUGUGGAGGAACACCAGUGGCGAAGGCGGCUUUCUGGUCUGUAACUGACGCUGAGGCGCGAAAGCGUGGGGAGCAAACAGGAUUAGAUACCCUGGUAGUCCACGCCGUAAGCGAUGAGUGCUAAGUGUUAGGGGGUUUCCGCCCCUUAGUGCUGCAGCUAACGCAUUAAGCACUCCGCCUGGGAGUACGGCCGCAAGGCUG